rnacentral:rRNA from 1 species
AUGGCUCAUUAAAUCAGUUAUCGUUUAUUUGAUAGUACCUUACUACUUGGAUAACCGUGGUAAUUCUAGAGCUAAUACAUGCUAAAAAUCCCGACCCCUGGAAGGGAUGUAUUUAUUAGAUAAAAAACCAAUGCCUUCGGGCUUCUUGGUGAUUCAUGAUAACUUUACGAAUCGCAUGGCCUUGUGCUGGCGAUGGUUCAUUCAAAUUUCUGCCCUAUCAACUUUCGAUGGUAGGAUAGUGGCCUACCAUGGUUUCAACGGGUAACGGGGAAUUAGGGUUCGAUUCCGGAGAGGGAGCCUGAGAAACGGCUACCACAUCCAAGGAAGGCAGCAGGCGCGCAAAUUACCCAAUCCCGACACGGGGAGGUAGUGACAAUAAAUACUGAUACAGGGCCCUUUUGGGUCUUGUAAUUGGAAUGAGUACAAUUUAAACCCUUUAACGAGGAACAAUUGGAGGGCAAGUCUGGUGCCAGCAGCCGCGGUAAUUCCAGCUCCAAUAGCGUAUAUUAAAGUUGUUGCAGUUAAAAAGCUCGUAGUUGAACUUUGGGUCUGGGUGACUGGUCUGCGUCUACCGCAUGUACUGGAAACCCGGAUCUUUCCUUCUGGAGAACCGCAUGCACUUCACUGGGUGUGCCGGGGAACCAGGACUUUUACUUUGAAAAAAUUAGAGUGUUCAAAGCAGGCAUUUGCUCGAAUACAUUAGCAUGGAAUAAUAAAAUAGGACGUGCGGUUCUAUUUUGUUGGUUUCUAGGACCGCCGUAAUGAUUAAUAGGGAUAGUCGGGGGCAUCCGUAUUCGAUUGUCAGAGGUGAAAUUCUUGGAUUUUUCGAAGACGAACUACUGCGAAAGCAUUUGCCAAGGAUGUUUUCAUUAAUCAGGAACGAAAGUUGAGGGAUCGAAGACGAUCAGAUACCGUCGUAGUCUCAACCAUAAACUAUGCCGACUAGGGAUUGGGCGACUGUGUUUUUUGAGUUGCUCAGCACCUUACGAGAAAUUAAAGUUUUUGGGUUCUGGGGGGAGUAUGGUCGCAAGGCUGAAACUUAAAGGAAUUGACGGAAGGGCACCACCAGGAGUGGAGCCUGCGGCUUAAUUUGACUCAACACGGGGAAACUCACCAGGUCCAGACACAUUAAGGAUUGACAGAUUGAGAGCUCUUUCUUGAUCAUGUGGGUGGUGGUGCAUGGCCGUUCUUAGUUGGUGGAGUGAUUUGUCUGCUUAAUUGCGAUAACGAACGAGACCUUAACCUGCUAAAUAGCUGGGCUCGCUUUCGCGGGU